GUGAGUCAGAUUGAGGAGAGUCAGAGAGAGGAGAGUGCAGCGAAUAGAGAGAGUCAGAUUGGGGCGGAUAGAGAGGGGCAGGCAGACACUGUUUUCAGCCUUAAUGACAUUUACAAAUAACUUUAGUACAUUGGAAAGUUGCUUAGAAUUAUAUAUAUUUUUUUCAUUAAACAAAAAAGGCAAAUUUCCCUUUGCCCCCUCAGUGUUAGUGCCCCCCUCUCCCCCCAGAGCAGUCAGUUCUGCUGCCCCUCCUCUCUCUCCUGCCGCUGCCUGUGGAAUUCCGCACAGACCGACACAACCCCCCACGGUGCUGCCCCUCCGAGAAGUCUGCGGAGUGUUGCGAUCCUGCCGCAUUCCCUGUGCUUCUAAGAAGCAAUGAGGCAGCGACUCCCCCCCCCCCCCCUUACUCCUCCGGCACCGCUUGCAAGCAGAACAUUUCUGGACUGGAAUGAGAUACAAAGCUGCGCAGUUACCUGCAUAAAUACGAUGCCAGUUUCUUCCAUUGCCUUUGGCUGUCAGUGAGUGCUUGAAGUCAUUCUGCAACACACAAACUGAAGGGCUGAUGGAUGGAAAUGGCCGUGGUUGAGACCUACACAUUUGUCUGGAAUGAUACACAGCCCAAGGAAUAAGCAUCCGCCUGCCAGGUUGCCUGGGAGCAGGUGACAAUCAUAAUAUUGACCAUCACUUUCCAAGCUGUGGAGUGGGUUACUGGAAUGACAGAUGUCCCUGGCAUGGAGUGGAGAACUAAAAUGAAGUCCGAGCCUUAGGAUAAGCCAGAUACACAAGAAAAGGACCUCCAAGAAAAAGUAUGAAGCAGCUCCCUCAAUCUGGACAACAGACAACUUGCCGUUUCUGCGCGAGAAGAAGAGAAAAACAGAGAGAAAUUGGAAACAGGCGUAAGAUAUAAAAACCAAAUGUCUCCCAUUCAUCAUGGUUCCCUGUGUGACUAAUGAGAGCUGGGCCUGCUGUGCUGGGGAGUACUCUAUGCAGGUGGUAAGGGAUUCCACCCACCCAUACUUUUUUAGGGAGAUGUGCAAAUUGCAAAUUAAACAACUGUCUCAUCCA